UACGGAGGGUGCAAGCGUUAUCCGGAUUCACUGGGUUUAAAGGGAGCGCAGGCGGAUUUGUAAGUCAGUGGUGAAAGGCUUAAGCUUAACUUGGGAACUGCCAUUGAUACUAUAAGUCUUGAAUGUUGUUGAGGUUUGCGGAAUGGGUCAUGUAGCGGUGAAAUGCAUAGAUAUGACCCGGAACACCGAUUGCGAAGGCAGCAGGCUAAACAAAUAUUGACGCUGAGGCUCGAAAGCGUGGGGAUCAAACAGG
rnacentral:rRNA from 1 species